rnacentral:tRNA from 1 species
GCCGAAGUGGCGAAAUGGUAGACGCGCACGCUUCAGGAGCGUGUGGAGGCAACUCCAUGGAGGUUCAACUCCUCUCUUCGGCA